AGAGCAGAAGGAAAAAGGAGGCUUUGGCAGCAAGUUGUGCACUGAAGGGAACGGCUGAAGACUGCUCCAGUCUCUUCAGGGAAGAACUCUCAGAAGGACAACAGAAUGCUAACAUGUGACAUUCGUAUGAAGCUCCAUCACUAUGGCAAUAUACAAAAAUACCAGGGACUCUCUUAGGUGCCACUUGGAAAUACAAUCUCCAGAAUUCCCAUUUGUCUCAGAACGCUCACAUCAAUGGCUUCAGAGGGUCACUGGCUGUUUCAAUACACCGAAAAUUAUCAUCUACCAGCCUGACUCACAAGUGCUGAGAACCAAAAAGAACAUGAGAAGCAAAGAACAAUUUUCUUCACUUACAAGCAGAGACUGAUAAACGUGUCUGGUUCACUCACUGGACACAGCAAGAUGAAAGUCAUCUGCAAGUCAGGAAGAACGCUUUCAUUAUGAACCAUGUCAACAGCACCUUGAUCUCAGACCUCCCAGCCUUCAGAAUGAGAUGUCCUGAGCCUGCCUAGAUACCGUUUCCGGUCUGUGGAAUAAAGCACGGAUAAAGCAGAUGAGUUCUGCCUUCAUGACAGACUUGGAUUCUGAUG